CAGCAGCCGCGGUAAUACGAAGGGGGCUAGCGUUGCUCGGAAUUACUGGGCGUAAAGGGCGCGUAGGCGGACAGUUCAGUCGGGGGUGAAAGCCCGGGGCUCAACCUCGGAAUUGCCUUCGAUACUGGCUGUCUUGAGUAUGAGAGAGGUGUGUGGAACUCCGAGUGUAGAGGUGAAAUUCGUAGAUAUUCGGAAGAACACCAGUGGCGAAGGCGACACACUGGCUCAUUACUGACGCUGAGGCGCGAAAGCGUGGGGAGCAAACAGGAUUAGAUACCCGAGUAGUCCCUGUCUCUUAUAC
rnacentral:rRNA from 1 species